AGUGAUAGAGUGCCUAACAGAGA
rnacentral:piRNA from 1 species